rnacentral:lncRNA from 1 species
AAAACACCCUCUUAUUACCAUACUGUGCUAUAGAAAGCAAAAAUUUAUUCAUCCUAUUCAACUGUACCCCUGUACCCUGUUACUCAUUCUCUCUUCAUUCCUCUCUCCCCCUAAUCAUUCUUAGUCUCUGGUAACCACUAUCUACUGACUACCUGAAGUCAAUUUGGGGGGUACUUUCACAUGUAAGUGAGAACACACAGUUUAAUGAGGGGCAAGAGAGAACUGUAAAAGGAGCCAGAGAAAGAUUGGCCACUACUGAAAUCACCUAACUCUUGAUCUCCUUCUCUAUUCCAUGAUCAAGAUGCCUGAUCACAUCUAGGUCUUUGGAUUUUCCUCCCUCUUUGGGACUUGGGGUCAGAAUUGUGUUGAGUUGAACUUAAAAGAAGUAGAACGGGGUAGAGAUGAACUUUAAAAGAAAAGGGGUAACAGGGUGAUGGUGGAGAUGGAGCCAGCUACUCUGUGCUCAGGGAGGCUGAAUUCUCCACAGAGACAGGGAGAAAGACAAGGAAACUCCAAACAUCCAAUCUAAAGUAGCAGAUGGAAAGGAAAACACCGGAAGUGAGGGACCUGCCAUGGAGAGGGAAGGUAGAGGCAGGGAAGGGGAGAGUUGUGGAAGGCCAACCUCAUGAAUUGGGCAGCCCAGAAAUGUCUGUAAG